rnacentral:rRNA from 1 species
GCAUAUCAAUAAGCGGAGGAAAAGAAACCAACAGGGAUUGCCCCAGUAGCGGCGAGUGAAGCGGCAAAAGCUCAGAUUUGGAAUCGCUUCGGCGAGUUGUGAAUUGCAGGUUGGCGCCUCUGCGGCGGCGGCGGUCCAAGUCCCUUGGAACAGGGCGCCAUUGAGGGUGAGAGCCCCGUGGGACCGUUUGCCUACGCUCUGAGGCCCUUCUGACGAGUCGAGUUGUUUGGGAAUGCAGCUCUAAGCGGGUGGUAAAUUCCAUCUAAGGCUAAAUACUGGCGAGAGACCGAUAGCGAACAAGUACUGUGAAGGAAAGAUGAAAAGCACUUUGAAAAGAGAGUGAAACAGCACGUGAAAUUGUUGAAAGGGAAGGGUAUUGCGCCCGACAUGGAGCGUGCGCACCGCUGCCCCUCGUGGGCGGCGCUCUGGGCGUGCUCUGGGCCAGCAUCGGUUUUUGCCGCGGGAGAAGGGCGGCGGGCAUGUAGCUCUUCGGAGUGUUAUAGCCUGCCGCCGGCGCCGCGAGCGGGGACCGAGGACUGCGACUUUUGUCUCGGAUGCUGGCACAACGGCGCAACACCGCCCGUCUUGAAACACG